UUGCCAUCGAUGAUGUCUUCCUUCCUUCAGGGGGAUCCAGAACAAUGCCCUCCCUGGUCCUCAAUACCCGCAGAAAUGGUUACAAGCAAGUUCCUGAGGAGUUGUUUUCCAGCUGCCAUAUGCCAUCAGCCCUUCCCAGAGAUUAUACAAAUGAAUCCUCUUGUAUUACCUUUCAUAACUAAUAGUACAGAAGGGAACCUUCAAGAAGUAGGCGAAGGUUUCCUCUGGUCUGCCCAUCUUGAAAGUACACCACAAUGCAACUCCUGGGAUUAACGGGACUGAAAAGUGCUCAGGUUGGAAAGGCACACAGACUGGAAGAAUGGACGCAAGAGCAACAGAAGGAGCCAGAUCACAGAUUCUUCCAAACAGAUGUUUCCUCAGUGACUGUCCAGCUGCAGUGUUGCACAAGAGGCCAAUGCCUUAGUUUAGUACCUUAAAUGAUCUGGAUGCAUAUUUUUUAUGGAAAUCCAUGCUUUUCUCUUUCUGUAUUAUUUCUAGCAUCAGUACCUUGAAGAGUCAGCUUUGGGGGAAAAUGUACUUAAGACUGUUUAGCAAUGAACAGUAGUCUAUAUCAAUAAUUUGUUGUCAAUAAAGCCUAAAGUAGUUGAAAUGUUUAGAAUUUU
rnacentral:lncRNA from 1 species